GUCUCUCUCUUCCCGCUGUCAACCCAAACCCAAAUCCUCCUCCACUCCAGCCGACUCUCCUCCUCAGCUUAGCUCGCACAAGGCCUUCCCGCCCAAUCGCCCAUCAGUUUCUCCGACCGCCGGUUGAUUUUGUUCAUGUAGUCUCUAUGAAGCAACCACUGCUGGAAAGAUGAACUUGGAAAGAACGACUUUUGGUGGAAGCUUUCCUGCACAGGUAAGAUUCAGAAUUUACAAGGAAUGUCUCCCCUUGCAUGAGAGUGAUUUUAAACAUGCUAUUCUAGAUAAGUACCAGAAAGGCUCCAAGAAGUUUAACCCUGUUUGUACCAUACUUAGGGCUUCCGUAUUUAGAUCUUAUAUAAAUACUCGGGAGACUUAAAUGUAAUUAUGUAAUAAAGGAAGGGGCAAAUAUGUAAUAAGUGAGAAGCCCUUAUUCUACAAAAGGAUCUCUCACUCUCUUCAUUAAGGAGGAGGCCAAUUCUGAGACCAUACCCUCA